AUCAGUAAGCGGUGGAAAGCAAACUAAACAGGAUUCUCUUAGUAACUGCGAGUGAACAGAGAUUAGCCCAACAUCGAAGCCACCAUGCAUUUGUAUGGGAGGCAAUGUGAUGUUUUGGUGUUUGAACGCACUGUCUGGCUAACUUGAAGUCCAUAUUUGACUGUGGCUUGUAUUUAUACACCCAGAGAUGGUGAUAGGCCCGUUCAGGUUGGUAUUCUGGCAUGACAGUUCAGUGUGUAAUCAUUCAUCAUAGAGUCGGAUUGCUUGAGAGUGCAGUCCAAAAUGGGUGGUAAACUCCAUCUAAGGCUAAAUACCUGUACGAGUCCGAUAGUCAACAAGUACCGUGAGGGAAAGUUGAAAAGUACUCUGAAGAGAGAGUAAAUAGUACGUGAAACCACAUGGAGGUUAAACAAAUAGAGUCAAGCUGCUUGCAUCAUAUCAUUGCAAUAUGCGCAUUUUGUUGCAUGACAUUUGCCGGGACCUGGCGUGUGAUUCUGUCUACUUGUAGGCAUUUGAACAUGUGUUUGUUGUUGAAAGGUCUCGGUGAGUGUCUGCGCUUAUUGUUCAUGAUGGGUGCUAAUGCCAUAGUCGGUUGUACUACCAGUGCGCAGUAAUCGGCGAUUGUGCGGGCUGACUUAUUGUCGUUCGUGCAAUCAGUGAAACAGUUGGCAACAGUGUGUGCUUGCAUUCGCUUUUGUCAAAGAAGGCCACGGCCUGUUGAUUACUGUGAACAUUGUGAGAGUCGACCGUUCAUAUGUGCUCAUAUAAUUUGUGGUAGUAAGUCGACUUGUCGACUACUUCCAUAAAUGAGCUUAUGAGCUAUGGUAUUGUGGUAGACUUUCUAUUAU
rnacentral:rRNA from 1 species